rnacentral:rRNA from 1 species
UACGUAGGGUGCAAGCGUUAAUCGGAAUUACUGGGCGUAAAGCGUGCGCAGGCGGUUAUAUAAGACAGGUGUGAAAUCCCCGGGCUCAACCUGGGAACUGCAUCUGUGACUGUAUAGCUAGAGUACGGUAGAGGGGGAUGGAAUUCCGCGUGUAGCGGUGAAAUGCGUAGAUAUGCGGAGGAACACCGAUGGCGAAGGCAAUCCCCUGGACCUGUACUGACGCUCAUGCACGAAAGCGUGGGGAGCAAACAGG